CCACGGGGCCGCCUGCCGGUUGGAACGGCAGCCCCCCGGGGCGCAGGGCCAUGAGGCCGGCGCCAAAGUGAGCGCGGCAUGGAGGGGCCUGCCUAACUGGGGCCCGUGACCCUGCGUCUUCUGGCUGCGACGCGGGUCCUGCGCACGCGGCGGGGCCGCAGCCGCAGGGCGGUGGGCGCCCGAGGGGCCGGGAGGCGAGCCGGGGCCCCCAGGCGGGUGUGGGCACCGUGUCCACAGCCAGCGUCCCCGAGGCCGCGCUCGGGCCGUGAUGACCGGUGAAGCUGCGCUGCGACAGCGCGGCCGACUUCUUCCCUGUGUCCAGUAGUGGUCUGGAGGGUUAUUUGUCAAGGUGUUAGGAACUCUACCACUCUUAAGACAGUAAACUUCACGGGGUGUCAUCUGACAUGGCAGGGAGCAGAUCACAUGGCCAAGAUCUUAAAGUAUCAGACUACCGGAAGGCAUGAAGAAACCUGGGCUGAGAGUCUUCGCUCCAGGAGACCUGAUCUUGACUGUAUGGCUGGCUUGAGGCGCGUCACUCUGAACGGCCACACGCUCAUCGGUGACCUGGGUGCACGUGCUUUGGCAGAAUCUCUUAGGGAGGAUUUGUGGCUUGGAGCACUUGACCUGCAGCAGUGUGGCCUCACCAGUGAAGGAGCAAAGGCUUUACUAAAGGCCCUUGAAAGCAACAGAACUCUGGUCGUUUUGGAUAUAAGAAAAAAAUCCACUUGUUGAUCAGUCUGUGAUGAAAGCAGUUAUCCAAAAACUUCUCCAGAUGGAAGGAGUGCCAAGUCAGAGGCUCAAAGAUUUGGAAAGAGAGAGUUUAACAGAAAAGGAAUGCGUGAAGGAGAAAUGGAAUCUCUUGCCUGAAUUUCUGCAGACAGAAAUAAAGAAUCAGUUAUGUGACUUGGAAACCAAAUGACAUAAAGAAGAAUUAUCAGAGGUUAAGUCGUCAGCGUCCCGGCGGCUAGAAAACGUUUCCUCCCAUGUAACUUGUCUGUGACCAGGGAGGCGGGAUCAUCCCACCUCUCCAUGUUACCUGAUAGUUAUAAAGGAAGCGCAUGUGUUUCCUUAUUCUCUCAUGGCCACUUGUUGACGUUCACUGCUACUUAAAUUAUCCUUUCCUGCUGUAGGAGGGCUACCUGGCUGAAGUCAAAUCCCUUUUAAAUACAGAUUUGUCCUUGGAGAACAUGCUUUCAGUCGGGAAGUGAAUGGAUGUCUAGAAAACGGGAGCCAGACAAGUGGUGAGGAGCGCAGAGUGGAAAUAGCAGAGAAAAAGAAGUCCCCCAAACCUGUUUCCAAACUUUGCAUGCCCAGGAGAAGCAAGUCCGAUGGAGAAACAAAAUCUGAAGUCUCAUGGGGCCCCAGGAUUACAAGGCAAACUACCAGGCAGACCACCAUCACGUCUCAUUUCACAAGGGGGUCAGUAUAUAAUGAAUGGACAGCCCCCAUUUUAGGGGCCAACUGUUUUUGGUAAAACACAUAGAGAAUUAGUAGGAUGUAACUUAGUAAUUCUGACUUCCACAUUGCUUUUGCCAAGGAUAGUAAAAUGAACCCCUGUGUACCUAUCACCCAGUAUCAACAGUUAACAGCUCCUGGCUGUUGUUUCAUCUAUACUGCCAUAUGCUCCAAGUGAAAACUAUUCCAAAUGGAUUACAACUCCAUACACACCCGUGUCCCCCCAGUUGGAUUACUUUGAGACAAAUCGGACAUGUCAUCUUAUCCACAAAUACGAUAUUUCUAGAUGACAAGGUCUCUUUCUCUGACAAGUUUUUUAUUCAUAUUUUGCUAUAAUUGCUAACAUCUAGCAAACAGUCUUUUGAAGAAGACAAAACAUGCCUUACAAAGUGUAACAGUUCCUUACUAACAAAUAUAUAGCAGUGUUCAUACCUCCCCUUGUGUUAACAGAGUUUGGUUGAUUUGUUCCUUAAGCCUUUCAAGUGAUAGAUUCCUUAUUUUCUUGCCAUUUAUUUAAAGAAAAGAGGUCUUUUGUCUAAUAGCUUCUAGGUCUGGCUGACUGCAUCGUUUCGGUGGUGAAUGUGUUCCCUUGUCUCCAGUUUUCUGUCAACUGGUAGUUAGGUCUAGAGUCCUGAUCAGAUUCCAGCUUUGUUUUGUGCGACUUCAUUGACGGUAUGGGGCUGUCCAUCAGAGACAUGUAAUGUCUCUUCGGUGAUUCUAGCAGCCGUUGAUCAAAGUCUAGAUCCAUUAUUUCUUAGGGUUUGCAAAACGGUGGUAUUCUAAACCUGUCAUCCAAAGAAACAUUAAGCUCGAAGCUUGUUUUAGUGUCCUGGCAAAAAGGGCUUCUCCUUGGAGGGAAGAGGGUGUCCAUGGCCUGAAUCUUUCCAAACAGAGGGUACUCUUGGUAGGGAGGAAUAUAAGUUGUUUUGUGCCCACUGCAAGUCUAGGGUCUGGCUGAGCUACCAGUUGGCCUUACUGUGUGUGACAGCCCUGCCAAACAGAAACCUGAGGAAGACCCUGAAGAAGCAAAAUCAGGUGAUUCUGUCGAUGAGGAAGAAAAAGACCAGGUAGGGCUCGCGUUUCAGUUUCUUAACUCUGCCUUAUUUUGGUACACUUGCUGGUAAUUGUGAAUGUACACUUGGUCUGUGUAUGGACCGUAAGUGACUGAGAGGGUGUUAGAACAUAUCCCUGGACCCAGGGCAGUACGUAGUGUAUUAUGGUUAGACCCGAGGACUCAGCAGGCCCGUAACUGUGGUGUGUUCUCUCCUGUCUACCUUCCUACCUCUCCAGCUGUCAAGAUUUUCCAGUCAAACCAGCAGAUGUGAUGCGUUUAGAGCAUUUCCUUCUGAUGUCAGAUAAGCUCCUUUCCCACAUCUAAUCUCUCUAUAAAAGCAGAGUUGUCGUGUUACUAUGUGUAUUGUAAUAAUGCUGCUUAGACUUUUUAGGUUAGAAAACUGGUGGCUUGCCAAAGGCCUCCAAUAUAGAAAAUGUCAGUCUCUAGCACUGUCCCGUGUGACUUGAGGGGCAAACCUAGAUACUACCAGAUGGUCACACGCUAUCUAUUUCAUUCCUGCCACAGGAUUAGCUGUGUAAGUCGGGAAGUCUGUAGGUUUACAGGUGGGCAGUAAAUGUCCUGUUACCUGCUAAAGAUGAGUAUCCGUGGUUUGCUCUAAGGCAGGGUUUCUCAAGCAAGGCAUUGACUUUUGGGGCCAGAUAAACCUUUGCUGUAGGUGUGAGUCCUGUGCAUCGUAGAGUGUUUAGCAAGGUCCCGACCUCUACUCACUAGAUGCCCGUAACAUUCCCUCUCUCUCCUCCCAGUUGUGACCACCAAAAUCACCUUCAGACUUUCCCAGAUGUCCCCUGGGGGGCACAAUUGCACUGAGCGAGAAGCACUGGACUCAAGGCUAGCAAUAUCAUUGAGGUAGACUUGACGUCCUGUUGUAAAAGACAUACUCAUUCUCCUGUUUUUAUUUUGGAAAUUAGAUGCCACUGUUCAUGAUCCUUAUUCAGAUGUCUGUAAUGAAGUUGAGUCAGACUACCCACUCACAGGUGGGACACUGAGACAGAGGGAAACGGCUUGUCCAAGUCACAUGGCCACAUCCCUUGCCUCCUAAGAAAACGUGUCGCAAGGGAAAGCAAGCUGGCUCUUGUAAUAUUGACAAGUGUUUUUUUUUUAAACAAAUGUGCCAGUUUUAGAGUUGUUCUUUGCCCUCUAACCUUUUGGAGGGCUUCCGUAGCCUUCAAGCUUCUGAAGAAACGAACUGGGGCCCUCUUUCCCAAGCAGGAAGCAGUUUCACUGGCAGUGUGUGAGAGGCCUUGGGGACUUGGAGGAUGAACACUUGUCGCAACAGGGUUUAUCCCGAUAUGCUAGAGUAAGGCUCAGUGCACCACACCGGUGUCAUCAGGUAGUGUUUGUUGGUCAAACAAGUAGUACUACAGAGAGAAUCUUACUUUAGUCAAUUUAAAGUUUUGAGAUCUCACUAUGUUUUUAAAAACAGGUAUUAAAUACAUGCAUUUGGUAAAACAGUACAAAAGCCUGUUUGGUACAUAGCAGCCAAAGAAAAACAAUGUGGCUAUUCCGUGCUGAGCUAUGCUGUGAGCGGUAUCAAAUAGGUACUGGAUUCUGAGGCCUUUGUUCAGGAACAAAAAAGAAUAUAAAAAUAUCUGAUUACCACAACUAAGGAGCCGGCCUGUGGCAACUAAGACCCGGCACAAUUAACUAAGUAGCUAACUGACUAACUAUUUUUUAAAAUCUCAUUAAUAGGUUUUUAAUAUGAUUUUUAAAAAUUUA